GAGCAAGAGCGUAAAUAACAAAUGGCUCAAAUUGCAUUGAAGGUUUGGCGAUAUAAAAUUCUUAAAGCGAUUCUUCGUGCCUAUCAAAUGUUUUGAUUAUGGCCUCGAACAACUCACAACAUU